UUAUCCUACGGGGCGCAGCAGUGGGGAAUAUUGGACAAUGGGGGGAACCCUGAUCCAGCGACGCCGCGUGGGUGAAGAAGCGCCUCGGCGCGUAAAGCCCUGUCAGCAGGGAAGAAAAUGACGGUACCUGAAGAAGAAGCCCCGGCUAACUACGUGCCAGCAGCCGCGGUAAUACGUAGGGGGCAAGCGUUAUCCGGAUUUACUGGGUGUAAAGGGGGCGCAGACGGCGAUGCAAGCCAGGAGUGAAAGCCCGGGGCCCAACCCCGGGACUGCUCUUGGAACUGCGUGGCUAGAGUGCCGGAGGG
rnacentral:rRNA from 1 species